rnacentral:rRNA from 1 species
AGUGAACGCUGGCGGUAGGCCUAACACAUGCAAGUCGAACGGCAGCACAGUAAGAGCUUGCUCUUACGGGUGGCGAGUGGCGGACGGGUGAGGAAUACAUCGGCAUCUACUUUUUCGUGGGUGAUAACGUAGGGAAACUUACGCUAAUACCUCAUACGACCUACGGGUUAAAGCAGGGGAUCUUCGGACCUUGCGCGAUUGAAUGAGCCGAUGUCGGAUUAGCUAGUUGGCGGGGUAAAGGCCCACCAAGGCGACGAUCCGUAGCUGGUCUGAGAGGAUGAUCAGCCACACUGGAACUGAGACACGGUCCAGACUCCUACGGGAGGCAGCAGUGGGGAAUAUUGGACAAUGGGCGCAAGCCUGAUCCAGCCAUACCGCGUGAGUGAAGAAGGCCUUCGGGUUGUAAAGCCCUUUUGUUGGGAAAGAAAAGCAGCAGGUUAAUACCCCGCUGUUCUGACGGUACCCAAAGAAUAAGCACCGGCUAACUUCGUG